GGACCUUUAGCUCAGUUGGUUAGAGCAGACGGCUCAUAACCGUCCAGUCGUAGGUUCGAGUCCUACAAGGUCCA
rnacentral:tRNA from 1 species